rnacentral:rRNA from 1 species
CACGGGGGGAGCAAGCGUUGUUCGGAAUCACUGGGCGUAAAGGGCGCGUAGGCGGCCGCCUAAGUCAGACGUGAAAUCCCUCGGCUCAACCGGGGAACUGCGUCUGAUACUGGGUGGCUUGAAUCCGGGAGAGGGAUGCGGAAUUCCAGGUGUAGCGGUGAAAUGCGUAGAUAUCUGGAGGAACACCGGUGGCGAAGGCGGCAUCCUGGACCGGCAUUGACGCUGAGGCGCGAAAGCCAGGGGAGCAAACGGG